rnacentral:rRNA from 1 species
UACGGAGGGUGCAAGCGUUAUCCGGAUUUACUGGGUUUAAAGGGUGCGUAGGUGGAUAAUUAAGUCAGUGGUGAAAUCUUCAGGCUUAACCUGGAAACUGCCAUUGAUACUAUUUAUCUUGAAUACUUUGGGGGUAAGCGGAAUAUGUCAUGUAGCGGUGAAAUGCUUAGAUAUGACAUAGAACACCAAUUGCGAAGGCAGCUUACUACACAGUAAUUGACACUGAGGCACGAAAGCGUGGGGAUCAAACAGG